GAGACGAAAAAAAAAAAAGAAUAAAUCUCACAUUUUGCGUUCUAAAAAAUUUCAAUCAUAUUCGAAACAUCCUUUUUGUUGAUAUACGGAAUAAAAUGAACUGAAAAAUCAGAAUAUAUUAUUUUUGAAAAAAUAUAAUUCUUAGAAAUAUUAAUUUUCUCGUACGUUCUCGACGAAAAUUUUCACGGAAAAAUUCAGGAUUGAAUUCGGUUAUUAUCGUUAUGAAAGAAAAUAAUUUUGAUUAAUAAAAUUAAAAUGCAAAUUGUCAAAUUUGAUGGAAGUAAAAUCUCUCAUGAAUUUGUGAAUCUUUCCGUUUUAAUACAGUGAUUCAUUAAUAUUUUGAAUAUUCAUAUCAAAUCCAAACGUACUCAAAUUAUUCUCAAAUUAUAUUAUUUUUUAAAAUUACUUUUUCAAAGUAAUUUUAUUUAUUCAAAUUUUUAUUCAAAAUUAUUUGAAUAAUACAAAUAUUUCACGCAAAGUGUUUUAUGUGAAAGAUAAAUUUCGUCCAAAUCUAAUUUAUAUUCAGGAGGAUAGAUCGAUAAUUUACAUAAUUGUAUACCUUCGUGCAUGAAUGUAAUAUGGUUUCCACUAUGAUUUUGAUUAUACCAGUUGCUACAUUCUGAACAUGACACGCGAUACGUAUAUAUGACAAGUGGGUGUAAAAUAGAUUUAACAUUUGAUUACGUACUUUCAAAUGAUUAAUCGUUCAGGUGUCACGAAUGAUCAACAAAUUCGAUUCUCUUUGAUCCACCGAUUAGAAUUUUUUCUCGUUGUUUUCGAGAUCGUGUAAUAGGAGAUCGUUUAUGGUAUGACAAUUGUUUGAUCGAACAAUUUUCAGACUAGAAUAUAGAACAUGUAGACCGAUAAGAAAUUUUUAGCGACACAAAGAUAUUUACGAUAUUUUCUCUUAGCCGAGAUAUUUUCAUUAUAUCUCGUAUUCUUUAAAGAUAGAGAUUUCAAAGAGAAAAUUCCCGAUAAAUCUCGAUAUUAACUCGGCCAACGAGGAUGUUUAAAGAUUAAAAACAAUAGAAAAUUCAUUUUAUGAAAAGAAACAUAUCCAAGUGACUCCUAUUUUAUUAUUUGUUUCACAUGUAGUAUAGAAUCUAACAAAAAUAUAUAAUAUACCAUAUAUAUAUUCAAUUUUAAUGGAUUAUUUGGAUUAUAUUUGCUGUACUCGAUAUUCACCUGUUAUAUCACGAAAUUGGAAAAGGGAUACAAUGAAAAAAGUAAAACGAUUAAUACAGAAACGUUUAUUUAUAAUCUAUAAAUAAUUUCUCGUUUACAAACGAGGAAAGGAUAGAUUUUCAGCCGGGCUCAAUAGCUAAAAAUCCAUCGGUCCUCUUUUUCUCAUACAAAA